UCCUACGGGAGGCAGCAGUGGGGAAUAUUGCACAAUGGGGGAAACCCUGAUGCAGCGACGCCGCGUGAGCGAAGAAGUAUUUCGGUAUGUAAAGCUCUAUCAGCAGGGAAGAAAAUGACGGUACCUGACUAAGAAGCCCCGGCUAACUACGUGCCAGCAGCCGCGGUAAUACGUAGGGGGCAAGCGUUAUCCGGAUUUACUGGGUGUAAAGGGAGCGUAGACGGAGUGGCAAGUCUGAUGUGAAAACCCGGGGCUCAACCCCGGGACUGCAUUGGAAACUGUCAAUCUAGAGUACCGGAGAGGUAAGCGGAAUUCCUAGUGUAGCGGUGAAAUGCGUAGAUAUUAGGAGGAACACCAGUGGCGAAGGCGGCUUACUGGACGGUAACUGACGUUGAGGCUCGAAAGCGUGGGGAGCAAACAGGAUUAGAUACCCUGGUAGUCCACGCCGUAAACGAUGUCGAUUUGGAGGUUGUGCCCUUGAGGCGUGGCUUCCGGAGCUAACGCGUUAAAUCGACCGCCUGGGGAGUACGGCCGCAAGGUUAAAACUCAAAUGAAUUGACGGGGGCCCGCACAAGCGGUGGAGCAUGUGGUUUAAUUCGAUGCAACGCGAAGAACCUUACCUGGUCUUGACAUCCACAGAACUUUCCAGAGAUGGAUUGGUGCCUUCGGGAACUGUGAGACAGGUGCUGCAUGGCUGUCGUCAGCUCGUGUUGUGAAAUGUUGGGUUAAGUCCCGCAACGAGCGCAACCCUUAUCCUUUGUUGCCAGCGGUUAGGCCGGGAACUCAAAGGAGACUGCCAGUGAUAAACUGGAGGAAGGUGGGGAUGACGUCAAGUCAUCAUGGCCCUUACGACCAGGGCUACACACGUGCUACAAUGGCAUAUACAAAGAGAAGCGACCUCGCGAGAGCAAGCGGACCUCAUAAAGUAUGUCGUAGUCCGGAUUGGAGUCUGCAACUCGACUCCAUGAAGUCGGAAUCGCUAGUAAUCGUGGAUCAGAAUGCCACGGUGAAUACGUUCCCGGGCCUUGUACACACCGCCCGUCACACCAUGGGAGUGGGUUGCAAAAGAAGUAGGUAGCUUAACCUUCGGGAGGGCGCUUACCACUUUGUGAUUCAUGACUGGGGUGAAGUCGUAACAAGGUAACCGUAGGGGAACCUGCGGUUG
rnacentral:rRNA from 1 species